rnacentral:tRNA from 2 species
GGAGAGAUGCCCGAGCUGGCCAAAGGGGGCAGACUGUAAAUCUGCUGGCGCACGCCUUCGGUGGUUCGAAUCCACCUCUCUCCACCA